GAUGAACGCUGGCGGCGUGCCUAAUACAUGCAAGUCGAGCGAACAGACGAGGAGCUUGCUCCUCUGACGUUAGCGGCGGACGGGUGAGUAACACGUGGAUAACCUACCUAUAAGACUGGGAUAACUUCGGGAAACCGGAGCUAAUACCGGAUAAUAUAUUGAACCGCAUGGUUCAAUAGUGAAAGACGGUUUUGCUGUCACUUAUAGAUGGAUCCGCGCCGCAUUAGCUAGUUGGUAAGGUAACGGCUUACCAAGGCGACGAUGCGUAGCCGACCUGAGAGGGUGAUGGGCCACCCGGGACCUGAGACACGGCCCAGCCCCCCACGGGAGGCAGCGGUGGGGAAUCUUCCCCAAGGGGCGAAACCCGGACGGACCAACCCCGCGGGAGUGAUAAAGGUUUCGGGUUCGUAAACCCCUUUUUUGAGGAAAAAAAAAAUUUGAAAGUAACAUUGCCCGUUUGAAGGGUACCAAACCAGAAGGCCCCGGUUAACUCCUU
rnacentral:rRNA from 1 species